AUCAGAAUUUCAACAACUCCAUCAAAAUCAGAAAACCAAUAUCAAUCGCAAAAUCAAUAUCAAUCACAGCUUCAAUUCAAACUCAUCAUUCAGUCAUUCCAAACAAUCAUAAAUUAUUUGCAAAUAUCCACUAGACUUCCGUGGCAUUCAUAAUUUAAAACAGUUAAUUUCAAAAUAAAAUCCCCUACCUUCGUAUGAAAUCAAAAUCAUCGAAAGCUCCGGAGAAGCUUUCUGACUGGAUUGCUGAAGGAGAAAGUGUCAGAAAUCGUCUGUGCUUCCUAGAACUCCAGUUAGCCGAACUCAAAGAAAAAAGAAGCUACGUCACCGUCAACUUCUACCGGACAAAAAUAACGCCAACACGUAGAAGAGAAAGAUACGAACACUUUUAUCGAAUUAGAUUUUCUAUUGGAGUACGAAUUUAAAGAAAUCGGAAAAAGAAGAUGUUGAAAGGUCACGGUCUCUCCCAAGGGUUACUCUCGGCUCUCUCUCUCUCUCUUUUGAAAGUUCAACUCGGUUAUGAGCUGAAGAAAAAAGAUCAGAGGGUGAUAGAAACAUUGCAUAAGGAUAUGUGUCAAAGGAGGGGUUUAGGUAUCAUGUUUCCUUUCCUUUCCCUUUUCUCUUUCUUAAUCCAUUCGGUCAUAAUAAAUGGCAUUGGAUGAUAACUCAUGAUUAAGUGCCUUUGGUUAAUAAGGGAAAGAGACAUGUGUUAUGUUUUAUAUAUGUAUACAUACGGAUAUAAGCCAUGCUU
rnacentral:lncRNA from 1 species